CCAAUUUGAUGCAGAGAGGCUAGACUGUUCACCUAGUAGUCGUGAUGAGUUGGUUUGAUUUUUAUAGUCAAAGGGUCACAUUCUGGAUUUCCUGGAACUUGGAUUGCUAAGGAUAUGUAUGUAAAAAUAAAAAGGUUCAUCUGCGAGUUUAAAAAAUGUAUGGUUGUCAGACUGUGCACAGACUUGUAGGUGUACUUGAGUGUUUUUUGCUCUAACAGAGAAAACAUUUAAGGGAUUUUGACAACUGAGGUUUUUUCUACUUGCACUGAGUUUUAUCCUGCUUCAUGAUUACUCUUGGUGCUGUUUUAUGUAUCAAGAUUCAGUGCUGUAUAUAUUUAUGACAUAAAGGUGAUUCAAGCAUAGCUGCUUGUAACAAAAGAUUGUAAACUUGCUUAGCUACUUUUAACACAAUCUUUUAAUGUAAUUUUGUAGUGUUACUGCCAUUUUGUAAUACAACUCAGAAAACCUUCAGAUUUUCUGGGAAAUAGGAUGUUGUUCUUCAGUUACCUUAACAGCCAGUUAUGGACAUUUAUCUAUGCUUGAUGGCUGAAGUAGCUGGAACUGUUGGGAUUUUUUUCAUCUUUGUUAUAGGAAUAUUUGUCUCCUUUUAAUCUUUCUUUCCUCUCUAGGAUUAACUGAUAAAAUAUCUUUUGGUUUGGGCUUUUAUUUAAUGACAUGCAAGCUAUGUAGCAUCCCUGCAGUAAGUAAUCUCUGAAUUAUUCCUUUGUGUCUCAUUUAAACAAACAGAAAAAAAAGACUGCAUUUUAACUUUGACAGUAGCUUUUUUGUUCAGAGAUUUUUAAAAAGGAGCAAAGAAUAAUGUAAGCUCAAGCAGUUGGGGAAAAAAAGUCCAAGCCCUAUUAGAGUUAAUCAGGACUAAUAGAAGGAAACAGUAUUUGAAGUGAUGGCUUCACUUCAGUUAUGAUUGUUUAUGAUUCUAUUUAAAUUUGUUAGUAUUAACUAACAUGGUUUAAGGUCAGGACAGACUAAAUGCGCAGGUUAAUUACUUUGCAAUAAUUGGAUCAAUGUAAAAGAGUUUGAGUGUAGAUUGGCUCUGUGAAAGAUGAAUUUUGAAAAAGUGGUACAAAAACCAGUACAAAGUCAGAUGAAAGCACUUACCUGUAUUUGCCAUUCUCUGGGACAGGAGUAGAGCUCUUGGCACUUGGGAGAAGCAGAGUGCUGAGCACAGUGGCCCUGGCCAUGAGAGCUUGAUCCCAGGCAUCCCUGUGGUCCUCAGUGGCCAGGAGUCAUGCUGUCCUCCCUUUUCGGAGGAGAUGGGGUAAGAUUGAUGAGCAGGAAAAUACCUGAAAAUUCAUUAAAUACAUCUUUUCAGCAUUAAUCAUACAAAUAGUUCUCAAAUGACUCACGUUCAGUUUAAAUGUUUGUCACAAGGAAGUGAAGUUAUACCUUUCAAUCUUAAGUUCUUGACCUCCAUGACAUCAUGAAGUUCUGCCUCAUAACUGUGAUUUAUGAAAAAUACCUUGGAUGCUACCUUUACACAGAAAUUGAGACCAUGUGAGUGGUAACCAUACUAUUAUAAAAAUAAAAAACACUGGAGAUGGAGAUCUAAGCUAAAUUAUAGUAAUACUAAAAUAAAUUAUUAAAGCUUAUGCUAUUUCAUUUUUCACCAGUGAAUCAUGGUAGUGAGUUUUAAGAAGGAGCCUUAUCUGGACUGUCUUGGAGGAAGUUACGUUCACAAAUUCAUGACAAAAAUCAUCUUUAAAUUUGUUAAUUACUUCAAAAUUUAUAUGAGAGCCUAUAAAAAAGGUUGCACAAAAUAGAAGCAUCUAAUAGGGGAAAGCGGGAGAAAAAAGAGAAAAUUAAAAGCAUCGUCAUACUGGAAUUAGUAGUAUUUCUUUGCCUGUAAGAAGACAGGUGAAACACAGGGGUGUGAUAAAUGUGCUGAACACUCCAGAAACCUAGUUUCCUCAGGACUGAAGUGGUGAAAUUUCUUGGAUAAAAGCAUGAAGUACAGAAGUCAAAAGGAAUUUGGUGAUUAUGAUAGGAAUUGCAGUAAACAUUUUUAUUAUUUUUGAUACUUAAAGUAAGAAUUGAGAAAGGAGAACUGAAAUCCCUGUCUCUAUAGUAAGCUUGGCUGAACAUGGAUUUGUGUGGGUUUUCAUAGAAAAAUUUGAUUUAAGAAAACGUUAACAGAUCAGUAAGUCUGACCUGUAGCAUAGCUGCAGUGUACCUUAGCUUUGCUUCAGAAGUUGAACCAUUACUUUAUGAAUCAAGAACAGUGCACCUGAGUAUUUGACCCAUGAAAUGUCCUUUAAUGGUCGUUUAACACUGAAUGCUAAACAGUUCUGUUUCCUUAACUCCUU